GACGAACGCUGGCGGCGUGCUUAACACAUGCAAGUCGAACGGAAAGGCCCCCAUCUUGGUGGGGGUGCUCGAGUGGCGAACGGGUGAGUAACACGUGGGUGAUCUGCCCUGUACUUCGGGAUAAGCUUGGGAAACUGGGUCUAAUACCGGAUAGGACCAUGGUUUAGUGUCUCAUGGUGGAAAGAUUAUUGUUUUGGUGCAGGAUGAGCUCGCGGCCUAUCAGCUUGUUGGUGGGGUAAUGGCCUACCAAGGCGUCGACGGGUAGCCGGCCUGAGAGGGUGGACGGCCACAUUGGGACUGAGAUACGGCCCAGACUCCUACGGGAGGCAGCAGUGGUGAAUAGUGCACAAUGGGCGCAAGCCUGAUGCAGCGACGCCGCGUGGAGGAUGACGGCCUUCGGGGUGUAAACUCCUUUCGUUAGGGACGAAGCCGCACUUUUUUGGGUGUGGUGACGGUACCUUUGUUAAGAAGCACCGGCUAACUACGUG
rnacentral:rRNA from 1 species